rnacentral:rRNA from 1 species
UACGGAGGGUGCGGGCGUUAAUCGGAAUUACUGGGCGUAAAGCGCACGUAGUCGGCUUUGCAAGUCGGGUGUGAAAUCCCCGGGCUCAACCUGGGAACUGCAUCCGAGACUGCAUUGCUAGAGUAUGGGAGAGGGAAGCGGAAUUUCUGGUGUAGCAGUGAAAUGCGUAGAUAUCAGAAGGAACAGCAGUGGCGAAGGCGGCUUCCUGGACCAAUACUGACGAUCAGGUGCGAAAGCGUGGGGAGCAAACAGG